AUUCAGAGAAACCCUGGAAUAAAAAAAAUGGGCAAUCCUGAGCCAACUCCUCCUUUCCAAAAGGAAGAAUUAAAAAAGGAUAGGUGCAGAGACUCAAUGGAAGCUGUUCUAACAAAUGGAGUUGAGGAUCUUGCGUUAUUAGUUAUUAUAAGAAUUCUCCAUCGAACUCCAAAAAGAAUGAAGAAUCAAGUUAUACGCAGACAUAUUAAAUAGAAAUAUAUAAAAUAUUAUAUAUAUAUAAAAAUUAAAAAUAAAUAAAUAUAUAUAAAUUAAAAAAUAUUGAUGACGACCCGCAUUUUUUAUGACUAUUUUUUAUGACUAUGAAAAGAUGGAAGAAUUGUUGUGAAGCGAUUCCAAUAGAUCUUUUGAAGAUCCAUCGGAUGAGAAUGAAGAUAGAGUCCCAUUCUACGUGUCAAUCCCGACACCAAUGAAAUUUAUAGUAAGAGGA
rnacentral:precursor_RNA from 1 species